AGUGAACGCUGGCGGUAGGCCUAACACAUGCAAGUCGAACGGCAGCACAGUAAGAGCUUGCUCUUACGGGUGGCGAGUGGCGGACGGGUGAGGAAUACAUCGGAAUCUACUUUUUCGUGGGGGAUGACGUAGGGAAACUUACGCUAAUACCGCAUACGACCUACGGGUGAAAGCAGGGGAUCUUCGGACCUUGCGCGAUUGAAUGAGCCGAUGUCGGAUUAGCUAGUUGGCGGGGUAAAGGCCCACCAAGGCGACGAUCCGUAGCUGGUCUGAGAGGAUGAUCAGCCACACUGGAACUGAGACACGGUCCAGACUCCUACGGGAGGCAGCAGUGGGGAAUAUUGCGCAAUGGGCGAGAGCCUGAUCCAGCCAUACCGCGUGAGUGAAGAAGGCCUUCGGGUUGUAAAGCCCUUUUGUUGGGAAAGAAAAGCAGCAGGUUAAUACCCCGCUGUUCUGACGGUACCCAAAGAAUAAGCACCGGCUAACUUCGUG
rnacentral:rRNA from 1 species